AGGGGUAUAAGUCAGUGGUAGAGUGUCACCUUGACAUGGUUAAAGUCAUCAGUUCGAGCCUAAUUAUCCCUA
rfam:Gossypium hirsutum cultivar TM-1 chromosome 17, whole genome shotgun sequence